GUGUCAGCAGCCGCGGUAAUACGAAGGACCCGAGCGUUAUCCGGAUUUAUUGGGUUUAAAGGGUGCGUAGGCGGAUUAGUAAGUCAGUGGUGAAAGCCCAUCGCUUAACGGUGGAACUGCCAUUGAUACUGCUAGUCUUGAGUAUGGUUGAGGUGGGCGGAAUGUGUCAUGUAGCGGUGAAAUGCUUAGAUAUGACCCAGAACACCAAUUGCGAAGGCAGCUCGCUAAGCCAUAACUGACGCUGAUGCACGAAAGCGUGGGGAGCAAACAGGAUUAGAUACCCUAGUAGUCC
rnacentral:rRNA from 1 species